AGCUCGGUAGCGUGAUGGUACCGCGUCUGUCCCCAAUACAGAUAGUUCUGGGUUCGACUCCGAGUCGAGCUA
rnacentral:tRNA from 1 species